ACUACGGGUGGCAGCAGUGGGGAAUAUUGGGCAAUGGGCGCAAGCCUGACCCAGCAACGCCGCGUGAAGGAAGAAGGCUUUCGGGUUGUAAACUUCUUUUGUCAGGGACGAAGCACGUGACGGUACCUGACCAAUAAGCCACGGCUAACUACGUGCCAGCAGCCGCGGUAAUACGUAGGUGGCAAGCGUUAUCCGGAUUUACUGGGUGUAAAGGGCGUGUAGGCGGGGAAGCAAGUCAGAUGUGAAAACCACGGGCUCAACCUGUGGCCUGCAUUUGAAACUGUUUUUCUUGAGUGCUGGAGAGGCAAUCGGAAGUCCGGGUGUAGCGGUGAAAUGCGUAGAUAUACGGAGGAACACCAGUGGCGAAGGCGGAUUGCUGGACAGUAACUGACGCUGAGGCGCGAAAGCGUGGGGAGCAAACAGGAUUAGAUACCCGGGUAGUC
rnacentral:rRNA from 1 species